CGUGGCUGAGCUGGUUAAAGCACCUGUCUCUUAAACAGGACAUCCUGGGUUUGAUUCCCAGUG
rnacentral:tRNA from 1 species